GUACUCUCUUCAGCGGUAUGUAUACUAAAACUGGAACGAUAGAGAGAAGAUUAGCAUGGCCUCUGCGCAAGAGUGACACGAAAAAUCUUGAAGCUUCCUGCACUUUU